rnacentral:piRNA from 1 species
UUUUGUUUAAUAAAAUGACUGGUCUAGAUC